GCAUCCCCGUCGUCGACCUUGCGCACAGGGAAGGUCACCACUGCUGGUCGAGGUCGCCCAGGUCGAGAGCGCGCCCACCGGCCUGAAGCUCAUCCAGGAGCCCUGAACUCAAGGUCAGCGGCGGAGAUGGGCGUCCCUACCAAUGGCUCUCCAAGAGAGAGGAGCGAGAACAUGAUGGCGGCGGGGUGUUCGAUCUGUGGUCCACUUCGAUGCGGGACGUGGAGGCGCGAUCCGACAAAGCCUCCCGACGCUCCAACCGCCGCUUCCCAUCAACGCCAAGGAGCAGCAGCCUCCCCAGAUUCUAUGAUGAUUGAUGCAAAGUCCGUGUUGUGCUCCUAUGAUUGAGGUAUAGAAGAAGCAGCAGAAAAUUGAAUACAUUGUUCUCUGUUGCGUCGAGGAUUGAUUUCAGCGCAACCUUUCACUGAAAUUAAAUAUAUCUCAUGGAAAUCUAGGAAUUUGCAGCAGUUCUGGUCCCUGGCGCGUGCUCCUCCGCUUGCCCUCUCGACCCUCCCCUUGCUCAUCGCCAUCCAUUUUAUUCAGAGUAUAGAUGGCGGGCAAAACACCUAAGCUCUAGAGCAAGGAUGAAAAGCACUCCAUACACACCCACAAGGAUGAUGAUCCAUCUGUUGCUAGGAUGGUGGGACUUGAGGUCAAACUGCACAGGUAUGCACCAGAUUCAAGGAUCAGCUACUUGAUGAAAUAUACAGGAGACUCUCCUACUCAACAUUACCUUAAAAAAAGAAUCAAGGAUCAGUUCAAUGGGAAUUGGAAUGAUGAAAACACUUGUUUGAGCACAUGUGAUCCUCAUAAUAGCAUAUUUGUAAUAAAUCAAUGUAGUCAAAUCACUUUUUUUAAUAAUUCUGUAGUAAAAUCACUUACAGUUGUGUAUAAGUGCCAUUAAGGGUCAACCUAGAUCUGCUGAGGUGCAUAAGCUAGAUAAGUGCGCACAUGAACGCUCAGGAGGCGUGCCAAUGACACGCCCCAGCCACUAGUAUUUUUCAAUCAUACUUGCCCACCCCCUCCUCAUCUCAUCCUGGACAUUGU